UUAACUAUUAAAUAGUACUCAGACGUCACUAAUACACAGAGUUUGGGGUCCUCUGGCGGGCGCAGGCCGGCCAAAGCCGGUGCCUAAAGGCGGCCCGCCAAAGCAACAAUCAUACACUAUACAAGGAUGGCGAUUGGCCGAAGCAUAACGGGCCAUUUCUGACCGAUCAUGUCCGGGGGCGCAUUAAUGAUCCUUCCGCAGGUUCACCUACGGAAA
rnacentral:misc_RNA from 1 species